CCUACGGGGUGCAGCAGUAGGGAAUAUUGCUCAAUGGGGGAAACCCUGAAGCAGCAACGCCGCGUGGAGGAUGAAGGUUUUCGGAUUGUAAACUCCUUUUGUUAGAGAAGAUAAUGACGGUAUCUAACGAAUAAGCACCGGCUAACUCCGUGCCAGCAGCCGCGGUAAUACGGAGGGUGCAAGCGUUACUCGGAAUCACUGGGCGGAAAGAGCGCGGAGGCGGGAUAGCAAGUCAGAUGUGAAAUCCUAUGGCUUAACCAUAGGACUGCAUUUGAAACUGUUAGUCUAGAGUAUGGGAGAGGUAGGUGGAAUUCUUGGUGUAGGGGUAAAAUCCGUAGAGAUCAAGAGGAAUACUCAUUGCGAAGGCGACCUGCUAGAACAUAACUGACGCUGAUGCGCGAAAGCGUGGGGAGCAAACAGGAUUAGAUACCCCUGUAGUC
rnacentral:rRNA from 1 species